AACGAACGCUGGCGGCGUGGAUUAGGCAUGCAAGUCGAACGAGAAUCUGGAGGUUCAAGUUUUCGGACAAGAACUUUCGGAGGAAAGUGGCGGAAGGGUGAGUACAACAUGGAUAAUCUACCUUCAAGUUGGGUAUAGCUUCCCGAAAGGGGAGAUAAUCCCGAAUGUGGUGAUCCGGCGCCUGUCGGAGAAUCCAAAGGUGGGGACCGCAAGGCCUGCCGCUUGAAGAUGAGUCCGUGCACUAUCAGCUAGUUGGUGAGGUAAUGGCUCACCAAGGCGAUGACGGUUAGCUGGUCUGAGAGGAUGGUCAGCCACACUGGGACUGAGAUACUGCCCAGACUCCUACGGGAGGCUGCAGUCGAGAAUCAUUCGCAAUGGGCGCAAGCCUGACGGUGCGACGUCGCGUGAGGAUGAAGGUCUUCGGAUUGUAAACUCCUGUCAUGUGGAUAAAUGGCCAGGGCAAGUGAAUAGUGCCUUGGAA
rnacentral:rRNA from 1 species